UACGUAGGGUGCAAGCGUUGUCCGGAAUUAUUGGGCGUAAAGAGCUCGUAGGCGGUUUGUCGCGUCUGCUGUGAAACCCGAGGCUCAACCUCGGGCCUGCAGUGGGUACGGGCAGACUAGAGUGCGGUAGGGGAGAUUGGGAUUCCUGGUGUAGCGGUGGAAUGCGCAGAUAUCAGGAGGAACACCGGUGGCGAAGGCGGGUCUCUGGGCAAUAACUGACGCUGAGGAGCGAAAGCGUGGGGAGCGAACAGG
rnacentral:rRNA from 1 species